CGCGUGAGUGAUGAAGGUUUUCGGAUCGUAAAGCUCUGUUGUUAGGGAAGAACAAGUGCCGUUCAAAUAGGGCGGCACCUUGACGGUACCUAACCAGAAAGCCACGGCUAACUACGUGCCAGCAGCCGCGGUAAUACGUAGGUGGCAAGCGUUGUCCGGAAUUAUUGGGCGUAAAGGGCUCGCAGGCGGUUUCUUAAGUCUGAUGUGAAAGCCCCCGGCUCAACCGGGGAGGGUCAUUGGAAACUGGGGAACUUGAGUGCAGAAGAGGAGAGUGGAAUUCCACGUGUAGCGGUGAAAUGCGUAGAGAUGUGGAGGAACACCAGUGGCGAAGGCGACUCUCUGGUCUGUAACUGACGCUGAGGAGCGAAAGCGUGGGGAGCGAACAGGAUUAGAUACCCUGGUAGUCCACGCCGUAAACGAUGAGUGCUAAGUGUUAGGGGGUUUCCGCCCCUUAGUGCUGCAGCUAACGCAUUAAGCACUCCGCCUGGGGAGUACGGUCGCAAGACUGAAACUCAAAGGAAUUGACGGGGGCCCGCACAAGCGGUGGAGCAUGUG
rnacentral:rRNA from 1 species